rnacentral:rRNA from 1 species
AGUGAACGCUGGCGGUAGGCCUAACACAUGCAAGUCGAACGGCAGCACAGUAAGCGCUUGCCCCUAAGGGUGGCGAGUGGCGGACGGGUGAGGCAUACAUCGCCAUCUACUUUUUCGUGGGGAAUUACGGAGGGAAACAUAUGCUAAUAGCGCAUAUGACGUACGGGUGGAAUCAGGGGAUCUUCGCACCUUGCGCGUUUGAAAUAGACGAUGUCGGAUUAGCUAGUUGGCUGGGUAAAGGCCCACCAAGGCGACGAUCCGUAGCUGGUCUGAGAGGAUGAUCAGCCACACUGGAACUGAGACACGGUCCAGACUCCUACGGGAGGCAGCAGUAGGGAAUAUUGGGCAAUGGGCGAAAGCCUGAUCCAGCCACGCCGCGUGAGUGAUGAAGGCCUUCGGGUUGUAAAGCCCUGUUAUUGGGAAAGAAAAUCAGCAUAUGAAUACGCCGCUAUCUUGACGGUACCUAAAGAAAAAGCAACGGCUAACUUCGUG